GCGCCUGACUACGGAUCAGGAGAUUCAGGGUUCGAAUCCCUGUAU
rnacentral:tRNA from 1 species